rnacentral:tRNA from 1 species
CGGGAUAGCUCAGCUGGAAGAGCAAAGGACUGAAAAUCCUCGUGUCACCAGUUCAAAU